UCAUACAUUCAGAAUGUCUUAUUUACCAAUGAGAAAAUGCACUCUUCUUUAAAAUUAUCUCGGAGGAUCGGGCCUGGUUAGUACUUGGACGGGAGACCUCCUAGGAAGACCAGGUGCUGUAGGCA
rnacentral:rRNA from 1 species